UACGGAGGGAGCUAGCGUUGUUCGGAAUUACUGGGCGUAAAGCGCGCGCAGGCGGUCUUCCAAGUCAGUGGUGAAAGCCCGGAGCUCAACUCCGGAACUGCCAUUGAAACUGUGAGACUUGAGGACGAGAGAGGUGAGUGGAAUUCCCAGUGUAGAGGUGAAAUUCGUAGAUAUUGGGAAGAACACCGGUGGCGAAGGCGGCUCACUGGCUCGUAUCUGACGCUCAGGCGCGACAGCGUGGGGAUCAAACAGG
rnacentral:rRNA from 1 species